CUGCACAUGCACCCCGCCGCCACCCCACCACACCGCCUGCUAGAUCCACAUCACGUCGCCUCCGGCCCUGCGCGUUCACCGCGUUGCCGCCCGCCCGAUCCGCGCUGCCAUGCCACUGCGCGCCACAUCCACCGCCAACCCCCUGCCUCCACCGCGUCGCCGCCCCUCCACCCGAGCAACCACUAGCCACCACGGUCCCCGUCCGCCGCCAGAUCCGCCGUGGCCACUCCAACACGCCCCAGAUCCGUCGCCGGCGCUGUGCCUCCACCGCGCCGUCUCCCCUCCACCGACGUUGUCUUUGCUCUCGGCGCUGCCCGGAGCCGCCGCGGGGAGCGGACACUCCCCCGCCUCCGCUCCGGCCGCUGCCCUCCGCUCUGGCCACCGCGGGGAGUGGACGCGUGCCGGUAGGCUUGAAAGAGAUGUGCAUGCAAACUGCCUACGGUUUCCCUAGAACUGUUGUUCAAGCACAAAGGUGAGAUGUAGUUGGUUGUCGAGAGAUGCAUGGUAGGAAUUCCAAAGAUGCAGAUUUGAUCAGUUGCAGAACAUUGCCUGUUCAAUUACAAAGAAAUUUGUUUGAAGUAUUUUCAACUUCAUUUUGGAACUAAAUACAUCUGCUCUGAAUCACCUACUUUCCAUUGUCCUAAAGACUCACAUUUGAUUACUUCACCUGCUUCGUGCCUUGUGAUUUGUGUUGUUACCUAGCUUCAUACAUCUUUGUUAUAUUUUAGCUAGAUUCAUCUCACGAAAUAGUUUGAAGUUAUGGGUGUGCAGGAGCUUCCAGAGUGCAAUGAGCAGCUUUUGUUUUGGAUGAAGUACAUGAUGGCUUUCCAACAUCCAAGUUAACCAUGCAAAUUUAGCUGAGCGGUCGUACAGGUCCCAUGGAUGCCCAAUGGCAGCCUCUUCAUUUUUAUUUAACAUCUGAUUUUGUCACUCUUGACUCAUGUAUUGGUAGCUGUUACAAUGGAUCAGCCAGAUAUAUUGAUCUGUAAUGAACACAUAUGUUUAAUAUCUUUAGAUAGAUUAUACUUUUACAUUUUGCGUCAAUUAUAACUGAUA